rnacentral:lncRNA from 1 species
CACUACAUUUGACGUUAGGUCACUUCCCUCCCAAAAAUUGUAUCCAUUAAAUGAAAAAUAAAGAAAAACUUAAGUUUUGUUCAAUACAUUAGACUAUCAAUUUUACUACGGUAAUUAAGUUAUUUUUCUUUAUUUUUAUAGAUUUAAGAUUAUUGGAGCUUGAUUUAGCUAGCUCAUGUAUCAAUUUUUUCAAUUGUUAAUUUUUUAACAAGUUACCAUUAUAGAGAAAUUGAUGAUUUGGGCUUGAAUUUGAUAGUUAAUAAUCUUAGAUCAUGAUAAAGACUAAA